CAUCAAUUCGUCUGAGAAUCCCUUUUUAAAAGCUCUCGAUAUCUCCCAGUUUUUCCCUCUCACCCUUUCUUCUCGUUCUCUUCGGUUGUGCACAAAACCCUAGACGCUCUCUUAUUAAACCCUAAUCAGUCACAUUACAGUGAAGAGGAGAUGGAAUGGAAUGCAGAUACUCUUCAAUUUCUCUCUCAGUGCUUCCUCAAUACGCUCUCUCCGGCGCCGGAGCCACGCCGCGCAGCCGAAUCACAGCUCUCUGAGGCCUCGAACCGAGUUAAUUACGGCCUCGUUGUGCUCCGCUUGGUCGCCGAGCCCUCUGUUGACGAGCAGAUACGCCAUGCCGCCGCAGUUAACUUCAAAAAUCACCUCCGCUUCCGGUGGGCUCCGGUCCGGGACUCUACUCUCACCGCGAUUGCUGACCAGGAGAAGGAUCAGAUCAAGGCCUUGAUCGUGUCUCUCAUGCUCCGGUCGUCUGCUCGAGUACAGAGUCAGCUCAGUGAGGCUCUCUCCGUCAUCGGGAAGCAUGAUUUUCCCAAGCAGUGGCCUGCGUUGCUCCCGGAGCUUGUGGUCACUCUCCAGCAGGCUUCACAAUCUGCUGACUACGCAUCCAUUAAUGGUAUUCUUGGUACCGUCAAUUCUAUAUUUAAGAAAUUUCGAUAUGAGUACAAAACAAAUGAUUUGUUGCUUGAUUUGAAGUAUUGUUUGGAUAAUUUUGCGGCACCGUUACUUGAGAUUUUUCUUAAAACUGCUGCGAUAAUUGAUUCCCAAGUGAGUUCUGGUGGGUCUGCUGUCAGUCUCCGUCCACUGUUUGAGUCGCAGAGGUUGUGUUGUAGAAUAUUCUAUUCGUUAAACUUUCAAGACUUGCCUGAAUUCUUCGAGGAUCAUAUGAAUGAGUGGAUGGGUGAGUUUAGGAAGUACCUAACAAAAAAUUAUCCUGCACUUGAGACUAGUGGGGAUGGGCUCGCACUCGUUGAUGAGGUUAGGGCUGCAGUUUGCGAGAAUAUUAGUCUUUAUAUGGAGAAAAAUGAGGAAGAGUUUAAAGGCUACUUAAAUGAAUUUGCUCUUGCUGUUUGGACUUUACUUGGAAAUGUAUCUCAGUCUCCUAGCCGUGACAAGCUAGCUGUCAUGGCAAUCAAGUUCUUGACUACCGUGAGCACAAGCGUGCACCACACGCUGUUUGCUGGUGAAGGAGUUAUACCACAGAUCUGUCAAAGUAUUGUCAUUCCAAAUGUGCGGUUAAGGGAAGAUGAUGAGGAGCUCUUUGAGAUGAAUUAUGUUGAGUUUAUCAGGAGAGAUAUGGAAGGGAGUGAUGUUGAUACGAGGAGGAGGAUUGCGUGUGAAUUGCUUAAAGGGAUUGCGACAAAUUAUAAGGAACAAGUGAUGAAAAUGGUCUCUGAGCAGGUACAAAGUUUGUUGAGCUCAUUUGCUGCAAAUCCAAUUGCAAACUGGAAGGACAAAGACUGCGCAAUAUACUUGGUUGUUUCACUUGCAACUAAGAAGGCUGGAGGAAAUUCUGUGUCAACUGAAAUUGUUGAUGUAAAGAGCUUUUUCGCCUCUGUUAUAUUGCCGGAGUUACAGAGUCAAGAUGCCAAUGGGUUUCCCAUGCUCAAGGCAGGUGCCCUGAAAUUCUUCACGAUGUUCAGGAGUCAUAUAUCGAAACCUGUUGCACUUCAGUUAGUCUCAGAUGUGGUCCGGUUCCUUGGUGCAGAAUCGAAUGUAGUUCAUUCUUAUGCUGCAAAUUGCAUAGAGAAACUUUUGCUGGUCAAGGAUGAGGGGGGAAGAGCUAGGUAUACUUCAGCGGAUAUAACUCCAAUUCUGCCUGUGCUGAUUAAUAACCUAUUCAAUGCGCUGAAGUUCCCUGAAUCUGAGGAGAAUCAGUAUGUUAUGAAGUGUAUCAUGCGGGUUCUGGGUGCAGCUGACAUUUCAGGAGAGGUUGCUGUAUUUUGUAUAAAUGGAUUGACCUUUAUCCUAAAUGCAGUUUGCAGCAAUCCAAAGAAUCCAAUAUUUAAUCACUAUCUUUUUGAGUCUGUGGCUAUGCUAGUCAAGCGGGCAUGUGAGAGAGACAUCUCUCUUAUCUCAUCUUUUGAAGAAAAACUGUUUCCCAGCAUUCAGGCAAUCUUGGCCAAUGACGUGACCGAAUUUUUACCUUAUGCAUUUCAGUUACUUGCUCAGCUUGUUGAGUUGAAUAGACCACCCCUCUCACAGAGCUACAUGCAAAUUUUUGUUCUCCUGCUCUCACCUGACUCGUGGAAGAGAACUUCAAAUGUCCCUGCUCUCGUGCGUCUGCUUCAAGCCUUCCUUCAGAAGGCCCCCCACGAGCUCACCCAAGAGGGUAGGCUGACAAAGGUGCUUGGGAUAUUUGAAAUGCUUGUCUUGUCUUCAAGCACUGAUGAUCAAGGCUUCUACGUGCUCAACACAGUUAUUGAGAACCUGGAAUAUGGUGGUAUUGCUCCUUUUGUUCAUCACAUCUGGAGUACCUUGUUUGGGAGGCUUCAGAGACACCGAACAAUAAAGUUUAUCAAGUCACUUCUAAUUUUCAUGUCACUUUUUAUUGUCAAGCACGGUUCUGGGAAUCUUGUUGACACGAUGAAUGCUGUUCAGCCAAAUAUAUUUUUGGUCAUUUUGGAGCAGUUUUGGAUACCCAAUCUGAAGCUGAUUACUGGAACAAUUGAGCUGAAGUUAACUGCUGUUGCCUCCACCAAACUAAUCUGUGAAUCUCCUGCCCUUUUGGAUGCUGCUGGUGCAAGACACUGGGGGAAAAUGCUUGACAGCAUUGUCACCCUUCUUUCAAGGCCAGAGGACGACAGAGUUGAAGAUGAACCAGAAAUGCCUGAUAUUGGGGAUAAUAUUGGCUACACUGCCACUUUUGUUCGGCUUUACAAUGCGGGGAAGAAAGAGGAGGAUCCUCUAAAGGACAUAAAGGAUCCAAAGGAAUUCUUGGUAGCAUCAUUGGGAAGGCUUUCUGCCAUAUCUCCUGGGAGAUAUCCACAGAUAAUUAGUGAAAACCUUGAACCAGCCAAUCAGGCAGCUUUGAUGGAACUUUGCAGAACUUACAAUUGCCCAAUCAUUUAAUGUAUAAUUUUGCAGACAAUGAUCCUAACUAAUGUGAAAGAAAUUGUGGGUUCUCUGACAAACUAUGAUGAUUUCAGCAAUGCCUACUUUCUGUGAAAUGCAUUCAACAAUGAUCUUAUGUAGCAACUAGCAACAGAAGAGGUAUCCUUUGAGUAUACUUUGAACAAGUUAUGUUCGCCCUAAAGUGAUCUGAUGCCGUUGAUAAUCAACCCUCCCUUUGUGCAACCCCGUUGCAUCUUUUUUUUUUUUGUUUAAUGGCGGUGAGUCGGUGACACCAGGCUUUGUGGUUAGUGUCUCUUGAGUCGCAUCAUAGAGUCGGCAUCAUCUCGCUUGCACAAGCAGAUGACAGUUCCACUGUGGUUGAGUGGGUAGUGAUGCACAACAUUUUCUUCCCCAGUUUUUGUCUAACUUCAAGUCUGCCUGUGAAUGUUUUCUCAGCUAAGUGUUGAUCCGUGGUGUUGUCACGCACAUUAUUUCCCUACACCUCUGCAUACGCGCAUACAUGCAUUUUUGUAAUUGAGCAUGCGAGCAAGAAAACUAUAUUUACCCUUCGAGGAUUACUUUCAAAGGUGGAAGCUUUAGCUUUUAUUUCAUGUUUUGGUAAUCUAUUUAUACCCCUUGCAAA